UACGUAGGGGGCAAGCGUUGUCCGGAUUCAUUGGGCGUAAAGAGCGUGUAGGCGGCCAGGUAGGUCGGUUGUGAAAACUGGAGGCUCAACCUUCAGAGGUCGACCGAAACCAUCUGGCUAGAGUCCGGGAGAGGAGAGUGGAAUUCCUGGUGUAGCGGUGAAAUGCGCAGAUAUCAGGAAGAACACCCGUGGCGAAAGCGGCUCUCUGGAACGGUACUGACGCUGAGGCGCGAAGGCGUGGGGAGCGAACGGG
rnacentral:rRNA from 1 species